GCCUUCUCCUGUCUGCCACCACGUGAGAUGUGCCUUUCACCUUCCACUAUGAUUGUGAGGCCUCACCAGCCAUGUGGAACUGUAAGUCCAUUUAAACCUCUUUCUUUUGUAAAUUGCCCAGUCUCAGGUAGUCUCAGCAGUGUGAAAAUGGACUAAUACAACCACACUUGGUUCUUCUUUUUCCCUGUAUUAACCUAUCUUACUUGAGUAAAAAGAGAAUACUAUAUGGAUGUAUGGUUCUUUCAAAUUGUGGUUCUCAGGAAGGUCUAUAACCUAAUGUGCAUUUUCAUGGAGGGGAAAUAGAUCAAGAUCUCAUAUUUAAGCAGAUCCACCCAUAUCUGCUGUCUUCUACAACAGAUCCUGCCAUUUCCUUGCCAACCUCUUAAAACUCUUAUUGCUGAGCUGGUCAGGCUCCAUGGCUUCUGUGUGUGUGCCAAAGCCUGACCACAGACACCUCCAUCAUUCCUUCAGAAGCAUUUUGUCAAGCUGGUACAAAAUAAAAGCUGGGAUCCUGGCUGACCCGUGAUAGCACCCACUCACUCAACUUUACUUACAACGUUAGUAAUUUUCACACAAUUACUAAUGCGAGAAAAUAAAAAUAGCUUGAGAAACACCAAUAAUUUCAAUGAAUCAUUCAGAUGGCAUUAUUUAACUGUAUAGUCCCAGACACACCCUAUAGUUCAUAUAUACUGUGCAUUUGCAAAUAGUAAUUUUGUCCUUUAUUUUAAGUCAAGAAUUCAUAAGGCAUGAUAUCUGUCUUGAAAAUCUAAGCUCACCUUGAUUCAUGUCAAGAAAACUAAGAGCCAUGCUUCAUUUAAAUUGGAAUCUAAAACAUUUCAUUGGCAAUCUGCAUUUUAGAGACUGCAAAAAUAUCUGCCGAAGAAAAGCAGGAAUUGGUCCUGUAUGUGUUCAAUUUCUCAAGAUGUUAGAACAACUAACAAAACUAGCACAGCACUUUGAUUUCCUUUGUUUUGAAGAUAACACAUUAGCUUAAUUUUGAGCAUUUUGUUCAGAGAAACACUAAGUGGUGUGAUAAUGGACGCACCACAUAGAUAAUGGACGUAGCACAUAGAUUUUCACAUUGCCAAGGAUGUGAACAAGAAACCCAUGGGAAUACGAUGUCUGGAAACUGCUUCAUAGUGUCAAACUUGUCCAUGGGUCCCAGGAUCAUUCCUUAUUCUUGGCUAUUAGUCUGCAAAAUGUGACUUAGAAAAGACAAAAGGAAAGACCAGGCAUGCAGUGGGUGUGGUGGCAAGGUUAGCACCAUUUUGCCCUUAGAUUUACACUGUCUGAGUCACCUUGACCACUUUGCUCUUUGGGCAUCUACCUCUGCAAAUAGAAGCUCUCAAUGCUGAGUUCCAACCUGUUAACAAUAGCAAAGGAGAAGUAGUCUGUUGCACUCAUUAAUUUUUCAGUGCCUUAAGGUCAGAGACCACACCUUCUUUACAUUUUGCAACUUCCAAACCCAGCUGUAUGCCUGGAACUAAAAUAAACUGGCAACACAUUUAGAACCAUCCUUGAUUCUCUGACAGGUAACUUGGUUUCUCUUUAUAGUACAGUUGCUAAUGUGCAGCUUCAGGCAAUUUAGUCUCUCUCUGUCUUGUGAGGACCCAGACAUUGUAAGUGCUGUAUAAAGCACUUUUUUUUUUUUUUUUGGCCAUGCUUCUUACCAUGGUUUAUCUUCUUAGAACUUAAGCUAAGACAUUAAAAAAAAAAUGCAGGUGGGGGAUGUGGAGAUGGGGAACCAACUUAGUAAAUAGUAGCAAGACCAUUUUGCCUCAGGGUAUUUGCUUUCUACAAAGGGUUUCUUACAGCAAAGGGACGAAAAACACUUUGUCCAGAUAGACAUCUUGUCAUAAGUGUUCUUUGUGUUCUUCAGAAUUAAUGGAUAGUGAGGAACUUUCAUAUUCAGUUUUGAUUUCUCUAGUCAAUGAGCAGCUGCUGUUGUCCUCCUAAAAAGAAAUUUCAUUUUGUAGAAGAUUUAGAUCUUGGUAGGAAGGAAUAAUAUUUAUAGAAGGUCUGAAUUCAGUGGGUAAAUUUCUUACCUCUUCCUUGCUAUAGUUGGCUUUAAAUAUAUAUACAUUAAAAAAAAAAUCACAGUGCUUGCAUUACCACACCCUAGUCCUCACUCCUGGGCCAUAAUCCUUCCUAUUUACUCUUAUUUCUCUGGGCAGUUGAGCUGCUCCGGCUUCUUUUGGCUCACGAAAGCAUUACAUCAUCAUCCAUUACAUUCCCCCUAUUGACCACAUUGGAAGGAUCUCUAUGUUCUGUUUUAGCUCUUCAGCCCCACAGGUAUGGCAUAAAUAAGAAAUGUCAGACUUGUAUAAAGGGCCUUCACGCUGCUAUUUAUUCUUACCCAGUCUUUAGUGGGUUGCUAGCUUAGGGCCCUAUUUUCUAGCCUAAUCAAAAGAGAAUUGGUGGUGUACUUAAGAUCUAGACCUGCUGUUUUGGUAGAAUAUGUAACUGCCUAGAUAAUGGAGUUGCAAGGAUGAGAAGCCAAAUCUAUCCUUCAUCACUGGAUGCUGUCUAAAAUUUGACUUUUGGAGUAUCAUCCUUUUAUCUCUAAGCACUAAUAAAGCAUAGAGUGUGAAGAGAGUAGGGACAGAACUAACAUUUUUGAAAUCUGAUAUGUGCCAGAGAGUCUUUUAGGCAAAAUCCCUUAUUACUGUCUUUUUUUCUUUAAUUCAUGCAAUAAAACUGUGAGAUAGAUACUAUUAUUAUAUUCAUUUUGUGGAUGAAGAAACUGUGGCUUAGAAAGAGCCUCAGGUCACACAGCUAGUCAGUAGGAAACCACCACCAGCACACAGUCAGUCAUUACAGAAAACAGGAUUUGAACUCUACUCUUCAAAUCAGACUUGAAAUUACUUGCUGUUUCCAUCAUAUCCUGGGAGGAGUCUCAGAGCAGUCUUCCCAGUUAAGGAGUAGCCUCUCUUGGGAAGGAGAGGUCACUACUACAGGAAGAGGGAAAAGAGCAAGAGUGCUGAGUUUACAGAAUAUGAUCAGCUGUUCAUUGACAUGUUUGCCUGGAAGUGGCCCUGCAGGCGCUGGCUGCAGAGCAGGUCUCUCCUGGGACUCCAGGGGAAACAGGUUACACAAAUAUGCAAUCAGAGAAUGCAAGAGUGUAUGAGACCCUGGAAAUCACCUAAUCCAGCUCCUUUCUUUCACCGCAAAUGAAGAAACAGACAGGAAAAAACUUACCCAGAAAGAUGAAGCAAGUUCAGGGCAAAGCAGAGUCUAUAAGCCAUGCACUCCAAUCUACCAGUUUCCUCAGCUUCUCAACCUCCCAUAUCUGCUUGGGCUGCCAUCUUGGGUUAUUAUUCUUGGUCCAAACCUCAAACUCCAUCACUUAAUAAUGCGUCAGCUUCCUACUAGCUAUAGAAGUGAAUUGUGAGGAGUCUGGUGGUUUUAAAAAUAUUUUUCUGGAUAAUUCAGAGUCCCCUGUUUCCAGAAGUACAUUAUUAUCUGCAUAUACUAUAUUACUCAUCAUGUGCACUAGAACGUUGGCUCCUACUGCAUGAAUACAGCGAUCACACUCACACAUGCCACAACAGCAGCAGUGUCAUUAGCAUGGUGUCAUUACACAUGCACAGCCCACAGAUGUUCCCCAUUUCUAAUCAGCCUUCCUCUACUUAUUUCUUCAAAUUAUAUGAAAUUGUUUUCAUUAUUUCAUAAUGAACAGGACGGUAGAAAGCUUUAGCUUAGAGAGUUAAUUAUAGCCUUUAAUUUUAAAUCUGCCUCUUCAGAAGGUUGCUCACUGACUUAAGAACUAUCUUACCCCAAAUUGCCUGCAGCUCAUAUUUCCUCAUGGCCUUCCAGGGCUCUGCUGACUCAUGGAAUAAAAUUACUUUACCUUCUAGUGCCUCCAGUUUCUCAUUUGUAAACUGGAGUGGCUGAUACAGACCAGCUUUGAGGCAUUUUUGUGACAAGCAGUAAAAAAUGGUAGCAAGCUUAAUUGUAGCUUUCUUGGACUCACUGCACAAGGGCAUUCUCAAAGGUCUAAAUGACUCUGUUCAGUUCAGUACAUCAGUAGUUCAGAAUCUUAUGUUUUCGUUUUAUAAUUUUAUCCUAUAAUUUAAUACAAGGAUGAAAGUUAACUUGUGAGUCCCUAAAAGACAUACAGGAAAAAGAAAAGUUAAUUUCUUAUGUUGAGUUCUGACCUGAGCAGGAUCACAUUAGGUAAAAGUAGAUCAGAAAAAUGAUCAUCAGAAUAUAUAAGAAAAAGAAAAGGAAAUUGGAUUAUUCUGACGAGAUUAAAAGACAAUUGAAAGGUCAAAGUGACAAAAAUUAUCUCGUUAUUUCUUGCAUAUGCUUCUUUGUUGUGGUUAUCUUUUGUUCCCACAUGGAAAAACUAUUAUAGUUCACCUAGGUAGCAAACCUGCACUUGUACCCGUGAACUUAAAAGUUAAAAAACAUAUAUAAUGAAUGUCCAUAUAAGCCUGACACUGUUACAAAUUUUUAUUUCUUAUGCUAAGUGCAUUUUAAUAAAAUUUCUAGAUUGAGAAAAAAAUUAAGUGCUCAAUCUUUUUUAAAAAGAAAAUUUUUGUAAUCUAGUCCUGGUGUGUGUGCAUAGAUGAUGUUACAUAUUGGAUUUUAAAGGAUUAAUGAAUGUUUCAAAACACCUUCAUCUUUGCUGAAUGAUGUUGGCGGGGUUUAAAGCUGUUUUGUGUUCACAAUACUUCCUCCACAAAGUAUUCACACACCAUCUCCAGCUGCUGCUAUUCUCUCUGCUACUUCUGCACUUUUUCCAUGGCUCCAUUACUGCCCCUUGACUGGAUGAUUUAUGUGUUUAAUAUUCAGGCUGUCUGUCUUACUAGCAUGGAAGUUCUUUGAGGUGUUUCUUUUCUGUGUAAUCUCACAGGCAUUAUAUAUAGAUGCUUAAAAAAUCUUGUUGAGUGAAUUAAUGAAUUAAUGAGUGGGUGGAUGGAUGAUGGUACCAGUCAGGCUAAAAUACAUAACUGCCCAUGAGAAGUUACUGUUUGGCACUUGUAUUGGUCAGGAUUCUCGAGAGACACAAAACCAAUAAGAUAUACAUAUACAGUAAUGUGCUAUAUAAUGAUGUUUCAGUCAAGGAGGGAGCUCAUUUAUGAUGGUGGUCUCAUAAGAUUAUAACGGAGCUGAAAAUUUCCUAUCGCCAGGUGGUGUUGUAGCUGUCAUAAUGCAAUACAUUACUUACAUGUUCAUGAUGACACUGAUGUGAACAAACUUACUUCACUGCCUGUCAUUUAAAAGUAUAACAUAUAUAAUUACGCACAGUACAUAAUACUUGAUGAUGAUACUAAAUAACUACGUUAGUGGUUUGUGUAUUUACUAUACUAUACUUUUUGUUAUUAUUUUGGAGUGUAUGCCUUUGACUUAUUACAAAAAAAAAAGUUAACUCUGAAACAGCAUCAGGCAGGUCCUUCAUGGGGUAUUCCAGAAGGCAUUGCUAUCAUAGGAGACGACAGCUCCACGCCUGUUAUUGCCUCUGAAGACCUUCCAGGAGGACAAGAUGUGGAUAUGGAAGAAGUGAUAUUAAUGAUCCUGAACCCAUGUAGGCCUAGAAUAAUGCAUGUGUUUGUGCCUUAGUUUUUAACAGAAAAGUUCAAAAAGUAACAAAAAUUUAAAAACAGGAAAAAACUUGUAGAAUAAGGACAUAAACAAAUAAAUAAUUUCUCUACAGCUUUAUAAUGUGUGUUUUAAGCUAAGUAAGUGUUAUUACAAAAGCAUCAAAAACUUAAAAACAAUUAAAAAGUUUAAACAUAAAAAGUUAUAGUAAGCUAAGGUUAAUUUAUUAUUGAAGAAAGGAAGGUUUUGUAAAUUUAGUGUUCCCUAAGUGUACAGUGUUUAUAAAGUCUACAGUAGUGUAAGGUAAUGUCCUCAGCUUUCACAUUGACUCACCACUCACUGACUUACCCAGAACACCUUCCAGCCCUGCAAGCUCCAUUCAUGGUAAGUGUCUUAUAUGGGAGUACUAUUUUUAAUCUUGUAUGUCAUAUUUUUACUGUACCUGUUCUAUAUUUUGAUAUAAUAAUACUUAACCAUUAUAUUACAAUUGCCUACAGUAUUCAGUAUUCAACACAGUAACAUGCUAUAUAGUUUUGUGGCCUAAGAGCAAUAGGGUCUACCUGAUAUGCCAGGUGUGUAGAAGGCUAUACUAUUUAGGUUUGUGUAUGUACAUUCUAUGAUGUUCACACAACAAUGAAAUCACCUAAUGACACAUUUCCCAUAACACAUCCCCAUUAUUAAGCAAUGCAUGACUGAAUAUAUAUAUAGAGAGAGAGAGAAAGAGCGAGAGAGAUUUGUUUUCAUGAAUUGGCUCACAUGAUUAUGGAGGGGGGCAAGUCCAAAAUUGAUAAAGCAGUCCAGCAAACUAGAAAGUCAAGCAAGAGUUGUUGUUGCAAGCUUGAGUCUAAAAUAUGCAGGACAAGAGAAGGCUUGAGACUCAGGCAGUACUUCUAUUUUACAAUAUUGAGACAGAAUUCCUUCUUCUCCAAUAAACCUCACUUUUUGUGCUUAAGGCCUUCAAAUAAUUGGAUGGGGUUCACCCACAUUAUCUAGAAUAAUCUCCUUUAAUUUGUCAACCAAAUAAAAAAAUGGAAGGGCUCUUUAAAAGAAAAUAAUAUUUAUUUGAGAAUAGGAUGUGACAAUGAGAAUACACAUGUCAUAGUAAACUAUGUGCAUGGCCAAAGAGGUGAAGGAAGACAAAGAUUUUUAAAGGAAAAUGAGUAGGAUUACAUAAUUGUUUUAAGGUAAUCAUCCUUGGCUUUGAGGACCAAUAACAAGUCUGGCACAAGUCUGAGGUUGGAUAAGCAGUUGCUGGGCAGAUGUCUUCACAGACGUAUUUUUUGUGUGUGAGAUUGCAAUAACUUUUGUGCCAGGUUAUGGUUUUUGCCAUCUUUUAUAACAGUUAUUGUUAUCAAUUAUUUAUGCAUGAGAAUCUUUCCUUCAUGGCCUUCCCUAGCUCUAUCAGGUUUCUUUCUUUCAUUUCAUUUUUUUUCUUGACACAAGUGACUUUAUUUUGAUUCUGACAACUUUCACAUUUUCCUCUUUUGAUCAAGAUCUUUCUCUAAAAGAAUCAUUGAGCAAUCAUCUAUAGUUAGGUUUUUAUUGUUCUCCAGUGCCAGGAUGGACCUGUCCUAGGUUGCUGGUCUGGUUCCACAUUGGAGGCAUUGAAUGCAGCUAGGACCCAGUGUCAAAACCCCUUUAGCCACAUUUGAGUGGCAAGAAAGGAUUAGAGGGAGUGCUUCUCAGGCUAAGUCUACCCAAAGUCCACUGUUAAGUUCAAUUUUGCCUGUUCCAUAUCUUUUGUUAUUAUCUCAAAGUGUUGGGCUAGCAUUAUUCUGUUAGGAGUUGUACUGCAAAAGUUUAACAAAUAACAGAUACAAAAUCUGUAGUCUAAAAGUCUUGGGUCUGCAGGAAGUGACAAUUUUUACUUAUUCACUGUAAGGCUAGGAACCCUUGAAAGGAGGCAUUCUAUGCACACUUUCAAAUAUUGCAUUUCAGUCAAAGCCUUGGUAAUAUAAACAAAGUUUACAGUUAUAUCCUGUUAUAAAGAGAGAGCAAAUUCUUAUUUCACUUAUGCAAACAACUCUAUUUCUAUAAGAAUGUUCAUGGAUAGAGUCUGAAUUUUAGAGGGAUCAAGUAGGGAGAAAAAGCACAUUCUUAUACAUUUGUUCACAAAAGUAUACUUUACCAAAUUGUUGUAAACUAUAGCUAGCUUAAGAGAGAAAGUUUUCUUGAAUCUGGAAAAUAAAACAUUUAAAUAAAGAACCAAUAGUGUUUUAAAUGAAAGUCACAAAAACUUUAUCUUAUCAGUUAUUUAAUCACAGUUAAUUAAUCAUCAGUUAACCUUUUAAUUUUUGUUCUGCUUGAUUUUGAUUAGUAGUUUUACAAAUUCAACAGUUUAUUCAUUAGCGUUCUGAAAUUUUUUAUUUAGUUCAUUGGUCUUAAAAUUAUUGCAAACCUUUAUUUAAGAGUACUUAUUAGAGUCUUUUCCAUAAAUCUGAUUGCAAAUGCUUUUAGAGAAAAAUUAAAACAAUAACUGUGAAUGAUAAAAACUUAGAAUAACCACAGUCAAAAAUCUGAUGGAAGCUCAUUAUAAUCAGCAAUUUACAAUGCAUUUGGUUAUUUUUGUGGCAUACAACAUGUAACCAGAACUAUGACCAAUGACAUUAAAUUUUUAAGAGUUUUAAAUAAUUUUUGAACACUAAUACAAAAAACAUACUCGUAAAUGUAACUGAAAGAAGAUCUAGUAUCAUUUAUCAUUUGCCAGUGCUUCCCAUGCAACUUAACAAAUACGCCUACUCAUCUAAUAUCUCUACAAGAAAGGAGAUAUAUCUUUCGAGGUUCUCCAGGGGCCUGACUAGAAAAUCUCCAAGUUAAUUUUAGGUCAAAAAUUUUUAAUUUAUAAUUUUGACACUAAUGAAGCCCAUCAAAGAUGUCAAAAGACUUCAAACACUUUAUCAAAACAGACCACAGGUCACUGUGAAAUAAUAAUAAUCAUUCAUUUAACCAGUGUGAUAAACAAAAGACUUCAAAAGCAACACAGCAAGUUACAUAGAUAUUAAAAAAAACAACUCUUUUAAAGCUCAGUUUUCCUAAGUAACCAAAAACCUAAUAAAAGCGACAUAAAAUUAUCUUGAUAAAUACAAAAUCUUUGUUUCUUAUGCUGACUACCAAAACAAUAAAAACAAACAAACAAAAACCCAAAUACUUUCUGCAGUGUGAUUCCUUUUUCUUAUGGAAAGCCCAUUUAGAUAACCUGGAAUUUGAACCUGAUGAAUAAGUACUUCAAUUUAAUUUUGCAAAAGAAGAGAAUGUUUCCAAGUUUAUGAGUAUACAUCGUAUUAUAAAAGAAGUAAACAAGAAAACUAGUACCCAAGACAGGGAUUACAUGGAAUAAUUCAGACACAUCAAGAAAAGCUGAGUACAGAAUCAAGUUAUAUUGGAGGGAAUCAUUGCUUUUCUAAAAGUUCAAGAUAAACAUUUUAGCAUUGGGCCGUAAGAGUAGAGUCAGAACCAUAAGAAAAAAAAGUUACAGGAGCUGACAAAAAAGUGGAAGGAGAGACUUAUCAUUCCAGACCUUGUCAAAGGGAGAAAGAGGAAGAGCAGAAAGCAAUAAAGUAUGACAUGCAAAUCACGUGCAAUCAAAGUUGAAUUUCUGAGCUAGAAAUCUGAGAAGCCCCAAUAAGAAAACUCUACCUUAAGAAAUGAAAUUACCAUUCUA
rnacentral:lncRNA from 10 species